UGAGUAACACGUAUCCAACCUGCCGUCUACUCUUGACAGCCUUCUGAAGGAAGAUUAAUACAAGAUGGCAUCAUGAGUCCGCAUGUUCACAUGAUUAAAGGUAUUCCGGUAGACGAUGGGGAUGCGUUCCAUUAGAUAGUAGGCGGGGUAACGGCCCACCUAGUCUUCGAUGGAUAGGGGUUCUGAGAGGAAGGUCCCCCACAUUGGAACUGAGACACGGUCCAA
rnacentral:rRNA from 1 species